GACGAACCGAGCGAACGUUGUUCGGAUUCACUGGGUUUAAAGGGUGCGUAGGCGGGCAGUUAAGUCAGCGGUGAAAUCCUUGAGCUCAACUCGAGAACUGCCAUUGAUACUAUCUGUCUUGAAUAUUGUGGAGGUAAGCGGAAUAUGUCAUGUAGCGGUGAAAUGCUUAGAUAUGAACAUAGAACACCUAUUGCGAAGGCAGCUUACUACGCAUAUAUUGACGCUGAGGCACGAAAGCGUGGGGAUCAAACAGG
rnacentral:rRNA from 1 species